rnacentral:rRNA from 1 species
AUUGAACGCUGGCGGCAUGCCUUACACAUGCAAGUCGAACGGUAACAGGUUAAGCUGACGAGUGGCGAACGGGUGAGUAAUAUAUCGGAACGUGCCCAGUCGUGGGGGAUAACUGCUCGAAAGAGCAGCUAAUACCGCAUACGACCUGAGGGUGAAAGCGGGGGAUCGCAAGACCUCGCGCGAUGGGAGCGGCCGAUAUCAGAUUAGCUAGUUGGCGGGGUAAAAGCCCACCAAGGCAACGAUCUGUAGCAUGUCUGAGAGGACGACCAGCCACACUGGGAAUGAUACACGGACCAGACUCCUACGGGAGGCAGCAGGGGGUAAUUUUGGACAAUGGACGCAAGUCUGAUCCAGCCAUGCCGCGUGCGGGAAGAAGGCCUUCGGGUUGUAAACCGCUUUUGUCAGGGAAGAAAAGGUUCUGGUUAAUACCUGGGACUCAUGACGGUACCUGAAGAAUAAGCACCGGCUAACUACGUGCCAGCCGCCGCAGUAACAC